rnacentral:rRNA from 1 species
UACAGAGGUCUCAAGCGUUGUUCGGAUUUAUUGGGCGUAAAGGGCGUGUAGGUGGUAGUGUAAGUCUGGCGUGAAAUUUUUCGGCUUAACCGGGAAAGGUCGUCGGAUACUGCACAACUAGAGGACGGUAGAGGCGUGUGGAAUUCCGGGUGUAGUGGUGAAAUGCGUAGAGAUCCGGAGGAACACCAGUGGCGAAGGCGACACGCUGGGCCGUACCUGACACUGAUGCGCGACAGCAUGGGGAGCAAACAGG